AUGAACGCUAGCUACAGGCUUAACACAUGCAAGUCGAGGGGCAGCAUGGUCUUAGCUUGCUAAGGCCGAUGGCGACCGGCGCACGGGUGAGUAACACGUAUCCAACCUGCCGUCUACUCUUGGACAGCCUUCUGAAAGGAAGAUUAAUACAAGAUGGCAUCAUGAGUCCGCAUGUUCACAUGAUUAAAGGUAUUCCGGUAGACGAUGGGGAUGCGUUCCAUUAGAUAGUAGGCGGGGUAACGGCCCACCUAGUCUUCGAUGGAUAGGGGUUCUGAGAGGAAGGUCCCCCACAUUGGAACUGAGACACGGUCCAAACUCCUACGGGAGGCAGCAGUGAGGAAUAUUGGUCAAUGGGCGAGAGCCUGAACCAGCCAAGUAGCGUGAAGGAUGACUGCCCUAUGGGUUGUAAACUUCUUUUAUAAAGGAAUAAAGUCGGGUAUGCAUACCCGUUUGCAUGUACUUUAUGAAUAAGGAUCGGCUAACUCCGUGCCAGCAGCCGCGGUAAUACGGAGGAUCCGAGCGUUAUCCGGAUUUAUUGGGUUUAAAGGGAGCGUAGAUGGAUGUUUAAGUCAGUUGUGAAAGUUUGCGGCUCAACCGUAAAAUUGCAGUUGAUACUGGAUAUCUUGAGUGCAGUUGAGGCAGGCGGAAUUCGUGGUGUAGCGGUGAAAUGCUUAGAUAUCACGAAGAACUCCGAUUGCGAAGGCAGCCUGCUAAGCUGCAACUGACAUUGAGGCUCGAAAGUGUGGGUAUCAAACAGGAUUAGAUACCCUGGUAGUCCACACGGUAAACGAUGAAUACUCGCUGUUUGCGAUAUACUGCAAGCGGCCAAGCGAAAGCGUUAAGUAUUCCACCUGGGGAGUACGCCGGCAACGGUGAAACUCAAAGGAAUUGACGGGGGCCCGCACAAGCGGAGGAACAUGUGGUUUAAUUCGAUGAUACGCGAGGAACCUUACCCGGGCUUAAAUUGCAGAUGAAUUACGGUGAAAGCCGUAAGCCGCAAGGCAUCUGUGAAGGUGCUGCAUGGUUGUCGUCAGCUCGUGCCGUGAGGUGUCGGCUUAAGUGCCAUAACGAGCGCAACCCUUAUCGAUAGUUACCAUCAGGUUAUGCUGGGGACUCUGUCGAGACUGCCGUCGUAAGAUGUGAGGAAGGUGGGGAUGACGUCAAAUCAGCACGGCCCUUACGUCCGGGGCUACACACGUGUUACAAUGGGGGGUACAGAGGGCCGCUACCACGCGAGUGGAUGCCAAUCCCAAAAACCUCUCUCAGUUCGGACUGGAGUCUGCAACCCGACUCCACGAAGCUGGAUUCGCUAGUAAUCGCGCAUCAGCCACGGCGCGGUGAAUACGUUCCCGGGCCUUGUACACACCGCCCGUCACACCAUGGGAGUUUGUAACACCCGAAGUCAGUGACCCAACCGCAAGGAGGGAGCUGCCGAAGGUGGGAUAAGCGACUGGGGUG
rnacentral:rRNA from 1 species